rnacentral:rRNA from 1 species
CCUACGGGGGGCAGCAGUGGGGGAUAUUGCACAAUGGGGGAAACCCUGAUGCAGCGACGCCGCGUGUGGGAAGACGGUCCUCUGGAUUGUAAACCACUUUCCCCAGGGACGAAGAUGACGGUACCUUGGGAGGAAGCUCCUGCUAACUACGUGCCAGCAUCCGCGGUAAUACGUAGGGAGCGAGCGUUGUCCGGAAUUACUGGGUGUAACGGGAGCGUAGGCGGGGAUGCAAGUUGGGUGUCAAAACUACCGGCUCAACUGGUAGUCGCACUCAAAACUGCAGCUCUUGAGUGACAGAGAGGCAGGCGGAAUUCCUAGUGUAGCGGUGAAAUGCGUAGAUAUUAGGAGGAACACCAGUGGCGAAGGCGGCCUGCUGGGCUUUUACUGACGCUGAGGCUCGAAAGUGUGGGGAGCAAACAGGAUUAGAUACCCGUGUAGUC